rnacentral:rRNA from 1 species
UGGGGAAUCUUGCGCAAUGGGCGAAAGCCUGACGCAGCCAUGCCGCGUGUGUGAUGAAGGUCUUAGGAUUGUAAAAUACUUUCACCGGUGAAGAUAAUGACUGUAGCCGGAGAAGAAGCCCCGGCUAACUUCGUG